rnacentral:rRNA from 1 species
AGGACGAACGCUGGCGGCUUGCUUAACACAUGCAAGUCGAGCGGUAAGGCCCUUUCGGGGGUACACGAGCGGCGAACGGGUGAGUAACACGUGAGUAAUCUGCCCUCCACUUGGGGAUAAGCUUCGGAAACGGGGUCUAAUACCUGAUACGACACUCUCCUGCAUGGGAUGGGUGUGGAAAGUUUUUUCGGUGGGGGAUGUGCUCGCGGCCUAUCAGCUUGUUGGUGGGGUAAUGGCCUACCAAGGCUUCGACGGGUAGCCGGCCUGAGAGGGUGACCGGCCACACUGGGACUGAGACACGGCCCAGACUCCUACGGGAGGCAGCAGUGGGGAAUAUUGGACAAUGGGCAAAGCCUGAUCCAGCAACGCCGCGUGAGGGAUGACGGCCUUCGGUCGUAAACCUCUUUCAGCGCCGACGAAGCGAAGUGACGGUAGCGCAGAAGAAGCACCGCAACUACGUGCCAGCAGCCGCGGAAU